AUAGCGUAUAUUAAAGUUGUUGCAGUUAAAAAGCUCGUAGUUGAACUUCAGGCCCGGCGGGGUGGUCUGCCUCACGGUAUGUACUACCCUGCUGGGCCUUACCUCUUGGUGAGCCCGUAUGCCGUUUACUCGGUGUGCGGAGGAACCAGGAAUUUUACUUUGAAAAAAUUAGAGUAUUCAAAGCAGGCAUAUGCCCGAAUACAUUAGCAUGGAAUAAUAGAAUAGGACGUGCGGUUCUAUUUUGUUGGUUUCUAGAGUCGCCGUAAUGAUUAAUAGGGAUAGUUGGGGGCAUUAGUAUUCAGUUGCUAGAGGUGAAAUUCUUGGAUUUACUGAAGACUAACUACUG
rnacentral:rRNA from 1 species